rnacentral:rRNA from 1 species
UACGGGGGGGGUAAGCGUUGUUCGGAAUUACUGGGCGUAAAGGGCUCGUAGGCGGCCAACUAAGUCAGACGUGAAAUCCCUCAGCUUAACUGGGGAACUGCGUCUGAUACUGGAUGGCUUGGAUUCGGGAGAGGAAUGCGGAAUUCCAGGUGUAGCGGUGAAAUGCGUAGAUAUCUGGAGGAACACCGGUGGCGAAGGCGGCACUCUGGGACGGUACUGACGCUGAGACGCGAAAGCGUGGGGAGCAAACAGGG